AAGUAUAUACACUUUUGUAAUGUAGAAACUGCGAACGGCUCAUUAAAACAGUUAUAAUCUACUUGAUAUUAUGAAUUUAUAAGGAUACCUACGCAAAAGCUGUAGCUAAUACUUGAACGAUGUAUUAAAUAUGUUCUAUUAUGAAUAUAUUUAGUAUGGUAUUUGUUAGCUUCUUCAAGAAAAAGAUAAGUGGGGAGUCCUAACAAAGAAGCGACACAUAUAAAGUUCUUCUUUUUAGAUCUUAUUAAAGUGCGUAUCAAUCGAGUUUCUGACCUAUCAGCUAUUGAUGUUAGGGUAUUGGCCUAACAUGGCUAUGACAGGUAACGGGGAAUUGGAGUUCGAUUCCGGAGAGGGAGCCUGAGAAAUAGCUACCACAUCUAAGGAAGGCAGCAGGCGCGUAAAUUACCCAAUUCUGACAAAGAGAGGUAGUGACAAGAAAUAACGAGACAAGGUCUAUUUUUAGAUUUUGUCAUUGGAAUGAUGGGAAUUUAAAUCCUUCCCAGAGAAACAAUUGGAGAGCAAGUCUGGUUCCAGCAGCCGCGGUAAUUCCAGCUCCAAUAGCGUAUAUUAAAAUUGUUGCAGUUAAAACGCUCGUAGUUGAUUUUCAAAAGAAUUUAAUUGAGAAACAUGCACCACUUUAUUCUGUUGUAUGCAUAUUUCUCUUAGUAAUUCUUUUUUUAUUCUGCGUAUAUUUUCGAAUGUAUACAGAAUAGUUACUUUGAGUAAAUUAGAGUGUUCAAAGCAAGCUAUAUGCAAGAGGGCAACCGGCUUGAAUACUACAGCAUGGAAUAACAUCAUUGAAAAAGUCAGGUGGCGUUUCUUUUUAGAAAUUACGGUUUUUAAAAACUUUUUCUUGAUUUGACUUAGUUACGAUUAGAAGGAGUAGUUUUGGGGACCUUCGUAUUCAGAUGUUAGAGGUGAAAUUCUUAGAUUAUCUGGAGACGAACAACUGCGAAAGCAUUGGUCUAAAAUACUUCCAUUAAUCAAGAACGAAAGUUAAGGGAUUGAAGACGAUCAGAUAGCGUCGUAAUCUUAACCAUAAACUAUGCCGACUGGGCAUCGGAUAUAGGUAUUAAUUGUAGUAGUAUUUAUAGAUUGAGGCCGGCUCCUUUUAUAAAAUAUUACUACUGAAGUGACUUGUUCGGUACCCUGCGAGAAAUCAAAGUCUUUGGGUUCUGGGGCGAGUAUUCACGCAAGUGAGAAAGUUAAAAGAAUUGACGGAAGGGCACCACCAGGCGUGGAGCUUGCGGCUUAAUUUGACUUAACAUGGGGAAACUCACUAGUUUAAGACAAGAGUAGGAUUGACAAAAGUUAGUUGAUUCAAGCUCUUUCUUGAUUUCUUGGUUCGUGAUGCAUGGCCGUUUUUAGUUCGUGAACAUGAUUUGUCUGGUUCAUUCCGAUAACGAACGAGAUCUCCACCUACUAAUUAGUUCGCAGUGCAUUCUGUGUCAAUGACUUUUGUACUUUUUUCAUUUCAUUUCCAGAUUUCUAUUCGUCUUUCAUUGGUCUUUGAUUUCGGCUCAAAACCUUUGUUAAUACUUUAGAUAUUCUAGUGAUUUGAACAGUAUAAAGGUUAUUGAGACGCAAUGUUUCGGCUACUUCUUCUUAGGGGGAUAUGGAAUGUUUAAUUCCAGGAAGUUGGAGGCAACAACAGGUCUGUGAUGUCCUUAGGUGAACUAGGCGGCACGCUUGCUACACUGAUGCGUGCAGCGAGUUUUUAAAGGAUGGAAUUUAGUUAUUUCGUUAGAGAUAACUAAAUUCUAUUCUUCCUCAUCUGAGAGGACUGGGGAAUCUGGAAUACGCAUCGUGAUGGGAAUAGACGAUUGCAAUUUUUCGUCUUGAACGAGGAAUGCCUAGUAAGCAUAAUUCAUCAGAUUGUGCUGACUACGUCCCUGCCCUUUGUACACACCGCCCGUCGCUCCUACCGAUUGAAAGAUAUGAUGAAUUAUUUGGACGAAUUUAAUUAAAGAAUUAUAUUCUUUAUAUUGAGUUUGAAAGAAUCGUAAAUCCUAUCUUUUAAAGGAAG
rnacentral:rRNA from 1 species